GUGGGGAAUUUUGGACAAUGGGCGCAAGCCUGAUCCAGCAAUGCCGCGUGUGUGAAGAAGGCCUUCGGGUUGUAAAGCACUUUUGGCAGGAAAGAAAUAGUGCGUGCUAAUACCAUGCGCGAAUGACGGUACCUGCAGAAUAAGCACCGGCUAACUACGUGCCAGCAGCCGCGGUAAGACGUAGGGUGCAAGCGUUAAUCGGACUUACUGGGCGUAAAGCGUGCGCAGGCGGUUUUGUAAGACAGGUGUGAAAUCCCCGGGCUCAACCUGGGAACUGCACUUGUGACUGCAAGGCUAGAGUGUGUCAGAGGGAGGUGGAAUUCCGCGUGUAGCAGUGAAAUGCGUAGAGAUGCGGAGGAACACCGAUGGCGAAGGCAGCCUCCUGGGAUAACACUGACGCUCAGGCACGAAAGCGUGGGGAGCAAACAGGAUUAGAUACCCCAGUAGUCC
rnacentral:rRNA from 1 species